rnacentral:rRNA from 1 species
UGUACUAAGGUAGCAUAAUGACCUGUCUUUCAAUUGAAGGCUAGAAUAAAUGGACUGAUGCUAUGAAACUGUUCCUACAAUAAAAGGAAACUAACUUUGAGUAAAAAUUCUCAUAAUGAGCUCUGGGACGAUAAGACCCUGUAAAAUUUAACUUUAUGGCUAAAAUAACGAAAUGAGUAAAAAUAGUAAAAAAAGUUUGGCUGGGACGGCAAACCUGAAUAAAAAACCAGGUUCCUGAUAAACGUCAUGGACGAUAAGAAUGACCCUAAAUGGAGGAAAGGAUAAAAUUACUUUA